UACGGGAGGCAGCAGUGGGGAAUUUUGCGCAAUGGACGAAAGUCUGACGCAGCAACGCCGCGUGAGUGAUGAAGGUUUUAGGAUCGUAAAGCUCUGUCAGUGGGGAAGAAUUGUCGGGUGGGUAAUAUUCACCCGAAGUGACGGUACCCACAAAGGAAGCACCGGCUAACUCCGUGCCAGCAGCCGCGGUAAUACGGAGGGUGCAAGCGUUGUUCGGAAUUAUUGGGCGUAAAGCGCGUGUAGGCGGUUUUUUAAGUCUGGUGUGAAAGCCCGGGGCUCAACCCCGGAAGUGCAUCGGAAACUGGGAGACUUGAAUACGGGAGAGGGAAGUGGAAUUUCGAGUGUAGGGGUGAAAUCCGUAGAUAUUCGAAGGAACACCAGAGGCGAAGGCGACUUCCUGGACCGAUAUUGACGCUGAGACGCGAAAGCGUGGGGAGCAAACAGGAUUAGAUACCCUGGUAGUCCACGCCGUAAACGAUGGGUACUAGACGUUGCGGGUAAUCACUCCUGCAGUGUCGCAGCUAACGCAAUAAGUACCCCGCCUGGGGAGUACGGCCGCAAGGUUA
rnacentral:rRNA from 1 species